rnacentral:misc_RNA from 1 species
AAAACAUUCUGAUCAUUCAGCUUCCACAAAAUACAAAUUUUCGAAAUUGGUCAGUAGAAAGAUUCAGUGUAAAUUAAAAAUGGUAAAAAAGGCAGAAAUUUGCAUUAAUAGAAUUAUAGUUUCCCCCGACACAAAUUGACGAAUCAUGAUCCACAUAUCAAUCUGCAAUAUUCAGAAAACAAUGAGUGUUUACUAAAAUCAACAUACUAUUGUAACAAUAGCACCGUUAUUGAAAAACAAACUAAAAAUUCCAAAAAUCGAGUUAAAUG